CUUCUUCCCUGAGUCGAUUGCAGAGUGCUUCUUUUCUUUGAGGAAGAAAAACUCGACUCCAGGAAGCCUUCACUCCUCCCACCAUCCCAUCGAUUAUCUGUGGCGGCCAUGCGGGUAGGCUCCAGGGUGGUCGUCCUCGUCCGAGACUCCGCCGGCUACGGCGCAGCCCUCGCUGACGCGCUCCGGCCGUCGCCGGGGCUCACGAGGGGUUCCUCGCCCUUCGAUCUCCCUCUCGAUAAGUACGGCCUCAAUGGCGAGAAGGCCUCCGGCGAGCUCGUUAGCUUCUCUGACUCCAGUGGCUCUCCUCAGGUGUCCUUUUUUGUUCUGCCUGACUAUAGGCCUCCUGUUGCUGCAUGUGCUAUGAAUGAGAUUUUAGCAUUGAUUUCUUCUGAAGCUCCCUCCAUCCAGCCAAUUCUGAUUGUACCAUUCAUCACAAGACCAUCAGGCUGCUUCCAUGGAAUGGUUAAUGCAACAAAAACUGGGCAGUUAACUACACUUCACGCUGCUGAAAUAGGGGCAUCAAAUGAGUUUACUCACUUGUUGGUUGACGGAAUUAUUAAACCUCCCCCAUCUUUGCAAAUACGCGGUGAACCAAUACAAUGUUUGCUGGAAAUGGUGCGGGUAUUGAAGAUACCGACAGUUCUUCUUGUCACAUCAGGUGGGCAGCACCAAGGCAAAAGUUCUUCAGACUCUGACCUUGAGGUGCUGCAGUGCGUGGGAGAUCACACGUAGCCAAGCACAUCAACUUGGAGUUCUCCAAAGAAACUGUCAUUGAGACAGGGGUUGAGAAAUCAGCAAGCAUUCAAGAACCCUGGCGUGAACUGUAUCUGUGACGAUUCUAAAACGUAUCGUUUUGUGCCCUUAUAAAUAGACAUCUUAACAUUUUAGAUUCGGACGUACUUUUUUUUCUUCUUUUUUUGCGGGUGGAACGUAUUCUGUUCACGGUGUGCUAGUGAUGAAUUAUGUGAUUUGUGCAAGGGGCUUGUAACACGAGCCACACUUUGUUUUCCUUUACAUCCAACUUGUUAAGAAGUGCAAUGUCGCAUGUAUGUGCUUCGUGA